rnacentral:rRNA from 1 species
UACGGAGGGUGCAAGCGUUAUCCGGAUUCACUGGGUUUAAAGGGUGCGUAGGUGGGAAUGGAAGUCAGUGGUGAAAUCUCCGUGCUUAACAUGGAAACUGCCAUUGAUACUAUGUUUCUUGAAUUUUCUGGAGGUCAGCGGAAUAUGUCAUGUAGCGGUGAAAUGCUUAGAUAUGACAUAGAACACCAAUUGCGAAGGCAGCUUACUACACAGUCAUUGACGCUGAGGCACGAAAGCGUGGGGAUCAAACAGG